GUUUUAAUAGUUUAAAAAAAAUAAUGAUCUUGUAAAUCAUAGAUAGAAAAUAAUCUUUAAAACU
rnacentral:tRNA from 2 species